AUUGAACGCUGGCGGCAGGCCUAACACAUGCAAGUCGAGCGAGCGGCGGACGGGUGAGUAAUGUCUGGGAAACUGCCUGAUGGAGGGGGCUAACUCCUGGAAACGGUAGCUAAUACCGCAUACCAUCAGAUGUGCCCAGCUGGGAUUAGCUAGUAGGUGGGGUAACGGCUCACCUAGGCGACGAUCCCUAGCUGGUCUGAGAGGAUGACCAGCCACACUGGAACGGAGACACGGUCCAGACUCCUACGGGAGGCAUCAGUGGGGAAUAUUGCACAAUGGGCGCAAGCCUGAUGCAGACAGGACGGGGGUGUGAAGAAGGCCUUCGGGUUGUAAAGCACUUUCAGCGGGGAGGCGUUACCCGCAGAAGAAGCACCGGCUAAAUCCGGGCCAGCAGCCGCGGUAAUAC
rnacentral:rRNA from 1 species